rnacentral:lncRNA from 1 species
GUUCAGUUUUACGGAAGUACAAGGAAGAGACAGGAUUUGCUCUUAACUUUCGGUAAGCAAAAGCAGAUGAAACCAACCACUGCCAAUCUGCUAAAUUAAACAUACCUCUGUUCACCUGAGACAAAUAAGAAAAGAAGGAGCAAGGAGAGCCGGAGGAUGAGGGAAAGGCAGAGGAGAAGGUCAACCAACAUGAACAAUAGUAACUACCAGGGACCACAGGCCAAUUUCACAAGAUUAGAAGAAUGAGGUUCCGACGUCGUCAGUGUCCGCGCAGGCUCUCAUAUCCCGGGAAGUAGCGGAUUCCAC